rnacentral:misc_RNA from 1 species
UUCGUGCGGCUGACUACCGGCGCCGUGUCUUUUCAUUCGUGUGAGCUAUCUUACUGUUGCCUUUCAAGUGCUUGCGUGAUGUUACCCGACCUACGGGUAUUGGUGCUUCGUACACAGUUGCCUCGCGGUGGACGCCUUUGGGUGUUCUGCUGCGGCCAUAUGGCGCUUGCGGCGUUGCCUCUUGGUGCUGGCAUGUUUCGUGCCUGGUGCUAUCAAGGCAUCCUCGCUCCCGCUGUUGGUUUCGGAUGUUGCUCAUGAUAAAGGCUCGUGGCCCUUUUGGUUGCCUCGACCUGACCCUAAUAAUGCUCUCCGAAUUUGAGAACAACCGGAACAUGUGUUGCCUCUACCUCUCCACAGUUAGUGGUAGGAUUACGCAACAUACUGUGCCGAUCCUCAUACUAGUAGGACGAGCUAGGCCCGCUCAAUUGCGACAACUGGCCCGGCUGUUGCCUCUGCCUUGCCACGCAAGUGGACGGGUGGACGACUACCGACGCUGGA